AGGACGAACGCUGGCGGCGUGCCUAACACAUGCAAGUCGAGCGGGGUCCAUCCAGUAGCAAUACUGGGGAAGACCUAGCGGCGAACGGGUGAGUAACACGUGAGAAACCUGCCCCGAAGUCUGGGAUAACCCGAGGAAACUCGAGCUAAUACCGGAUGCCCUCUUCUGGUCGCAUGGCCGGAACAGGAAAGAUUUAUCGCUUCGGGAGGGUCUCGCGGCCUAUCAGCUAGUUGGUGGGGUAACGGCCCACCAAGGCGUCGACGGGUAGCUGGUCUGAGAGGACGAUCAGCCACACUGGGACUGAGACACGGCCCAGACUCCUACGGGAGGCAGCAGUGGGGAAUCUUGCGCAAUGGGCGAAAGCCUGACGCAGCAACGCCGCGUGCGGGAUGAAGGCCUUCGGGUUGUAAACCGCUUUCAGCAGGGACGAAAUGACGGUACCUGCAGAAGAAGCCCGGCAACUACGCGCCAGCAGCCGCGGU
rnacentral:rRNA from 1 species